rnacentral:rRNA from 1 species
UACAGAGGGUGCAAGCGUUGUUCGGAAUUAUUGGGCGUAAAGGGCGCGUAGGCGGUUCGGCAAGUCUCUAGUGAAAUCUCAGGGCUCAACUCUGAGUCUGCUGGGGAAACUGCCGGGCUAGAGUCCGGAAGAGGCGAGUGGAAUUCCUGGUGUAGCGGUGAAAUGCGCAGAUAUCAGGAGGAACACCAAUGGCGAAGGCAGCUCGCUGGAACGGUACUGACGCUGAGGCGCGAAAGCGUGGGGAGCGAACAGG